GAUGAACGCUGGCGGCGUGCCUAAUACAUGCCAGUAGAACGCUGAAGGAGGAGCUUGCUCUUCUGGAUGAGUUGCGAACGGGUGAGUAACGCGUAGGUAACCUGCCUGGUAGCGGGGGAUAACUAUUGGAAACGAUAGCUAAUACCGCAUGACAACAGUUAUUGCAUGAUAACUGUUUAAAAGGGGCAACUGCUCCACUACCAGAUGGACCUGCGUUGUAUUAGCUAGUUGGUGAGGUAACGGCUCACCAAGGCGACGAUACAUAGCCGACCUGAGAGGGGGAUCGGCCACACUGGGACUGAGACACGGCCCAGACUCCUACGGGAGGCAGCAGUAGGGAAUCUUCGGCAAUGGACGGAAGUCUGACCGAGCAACGCCGCGUGAGUGAAGAAGGUUUUCGGAUCGUAAAGCUCGGUUGUAAGAGAAGAACGAGUGUGAGAGUGGAAAGUUCACACUGUGACGGUAUCUUACCAGAAAGGGACGGCUAACUACGUG
rnacentral:rRNA from 1 species